UGCCAAGCAGGAGAAGGGUCCAGGGGUCU
rnacentral:piRNA from 1 species